GACGUAGGGCGCGAGCGUUGUCCGGAAUUAUUGGGCGUAAAGAGCUCGUAGGCGGUCUGUCACGUCGGCUGUGAAAACCUGGGGCUCAACCCCGGGCCUGCAGCCGAUACGGGCAGACUAGAAUUCGGUAGGGGAGACUGGAAUUCCUGGUGUAGCGGUGAAAUGCGCAGAUAUCAGGAGGAACACCGGUGGCGAAGGCGGGUCUCUGGGCCGAUAUUGACGCUGAGGAGCGAAAGCGUGGGGAGCGAACAGG
rnacentral:rRNA from 1 species